GAUGAACGCUGGCGGCGUGCCUAAUACAUGCAAGUCGAGCGAACAGAUGAGGAGCUUGCUCCUCUGACGUUAGCGGCGGACGGGUGAGUAACACGUGGAUAACCUCCCUAUAAGACUGGGAUAACUUCGGGAAACCGGAGCUAAUACCGGAUAAUAUAUUGAACCGCAUGGUUCAAUAGUGAAAGACGGUUUUGCUGUCACUAUAAGAGGUUCCCAGGCGCAUUAGCCAGUUGGUAAGGGAACGGCUUACCAAGGACACGGUGCGUAGCAGACCUGAGAGGGUGAUCGGCCACACUGGAAGUGGGACACGGUCCAGACUCCUACGGGAGGCCGCAGUAGGGAAUCUUCCGCAACGGGCGAAAGCCUGACGGAGCAACGCCGCGUGAGUGAUGAAGGUCUUCGGAUCGUAAAACUCUGUUAUUAGGGAAGAACAAAUGUGUAAGUAACUAUGCACGUCUUGACGGUACCUAAUCAGAAAGCCACGGCUAACUACGUG
rnacentral:rRNA from 1 species